rnacentral:rRNA from 1 species
AUUGAACGCUGGCGGCAUGCCUUACACAUGCAAGUCGAACGGUAACGCGGGGCAACCUGGCGACGAGUGGCGAACGGGUGAGUAAUGCAUCGGAACGUGCCCAGUAGUGGGGGAUAGCCCGGCGAAGGCCGGAUUAAUACCGCAUACGACCUACGGGUGAAAGGGGGGGACAGCAAGACCUCUCGCUAUUGGAGCGGCCGAUGUCAGAUUAGGUAGUUGGUGGGGUAAAGGCCUACCAAGCCUACGAUCUGUAGCUGGUCUGAGAGGACGGCCAGCCACACUGGGACUGAGACACGGCCCAGACUCCUACGGGAGGCAGCAGUGGGGAAUUUUGGACAAUGGGCGCAAGCCUGAUCCAGCCAUGCCGCGUGCGGGAAGAAGGCCUUCGGGUUGUAAACCGCUUUUGUCGGGGAAGAAAUCUUCUGGGCUAAUACCUCGGGAGGAUGACGGUACCCGAAGAAUAAGCACCGGCUAACUACGUGCCAGCAGCCGCCGUAA